CUCCCUCUCUCGGUCUCUCCCCGUCCUCGCCCGGCCGCUCGCAGCUAUGGAAAGAGCUCCUGCUGCGUCACACACCAGCAUAACGAGGCCGGUGCCGCCACACCUAUCAGCCUUGCCGUCCCGGGCCUCCCCUUCCUCGUCGGCAGAUGGGACAAUGUCCCAAUGAUUCGUGGUGACAUGAAAGUAAAGUAAUCUUGAAUUAGCGUUGCUACUAACAAGUGUGCAGAACUAGGAAAGCUAGCAGUUCUCAGACCUUGUUAGUUGUGUAAUUAGGUGCUAUGUACUAAUCCAUGUUUAAAUUUUUUAUCUGUUUAGUCUUGAAUUAGCAUUUAUGUUCUAUUGAUCCAUCGAAGCAGUUGACAAUUAGGUGGAGGACAUCAAGAAUGAAUUUUUUGGCCUGCCAUACAAGGACAGCAAGUUACAUAAUUACCAUUAUUGGAAUGGUGAGUUUAAUGGUUUCUUCUUCUAUUUGUAGUCUGGGCCUCUAAGCAGUUGACAAUAUGAUAUCCGGCUUCUAUUCCAUUUAAUUAGACUAAAUGAGCAGGAUAUAUGCAAUAUCACAAAAUGGGGGAUUUUGCUGCGAAACUUAUUUGUUUGGUCACUUGUUUUGGAAAGAAGCCUAUGGUUUCUAUUGGAAUAGAAAUCUUGGGAACUACUAAGUACCAGCAAGUCAUUGCUUAUUUAAGAAUGGUGUUAUGUCAGUUUGCCUCUAUCACUGAAAGCUAGCUGUUUUUAGCGAAUUAGCUGUGUUUGAAGAAAAGGGGUUACGAUUGUACAAGCUGCAAGCACAGGAAGGAGAAUUGGACCAGAUGGGAUGGGAGGAGAAUAUUUGGAACUGGACGAUGCAAGUUGAUGCAAUUUUUGCUCUAAAUGGUGCUUUGGCUCUUGGGUCGCCUUGUGCGGUGGCGAGCUAAUCAGUCUACAUUGCACUGGAGGAAAGUUCUUUUGUGCCACCUGGCUCUUAUCUUUCACCAAGCGUUGGCUCCCGACCUCCCGUUGACAUUAUUUUCAGUUGGUCCAUAAACAAUAUUUUUAGUUUUUUACUUCUCAAUUUUAAGUAAAAAUCAUUAUAUGAUGUCCAUCGUCAAGAAAUUUUUAGAUUAAGAUCGUCAAGAAUUGUAUGGAUGAUAUGUCGCAAUGUGCCAUUUUAUGUCACAACUGUUAUGUAGUAAUGCAACUCAAAACAUUAUGGCUUGUAUCCCUAUAUUUUGCUUAGCUAGAAAAACUUUUCUACAACUCUUUGCACAAAGAAUUCAAA